rnacentral:rRNA from 1 species
AGUGAACGCUGGCGGUAGGCCUAACACAUGCAAGUCGAACGGCAGCACAGUAAGAGCUUGCUCUUACGGGUGGCGAGUGGCGGACGGGUGAGGAAUACAUCGGAAUCUACUUUUUCGUGGGGGAUAACGUAGGGAAACUUACGCUAAUACCGCAUACGACCUACGGGUGAAAGCAGGGGAUCUUCGGACCUUGCGCGAUUGAAUGAGCCGAUGUCGGAUUAGCUAGUUGGCGGGGUAAAGGCCCACCAAGGCGACGAUCCGUAGCUGGUCUGAGAGGAUGAUCAGCCACACUGGAACUGAGACACGGUCCAGACUCCUACGGGAGGCAGCAGUGGGGAAUAUUGGACAAUGGGCGCAAGCCUGAUCCAGCCAUACCGCGUGGGUGAAGAAGGCCUUCGGGUUGUAAAGCCCUUUUGUUGGGAAAGAAAAGCAGCAGGUUAAUACCCCGCUGUUCUGACGGUACCCAAAGAAUAAGCAGCGGCUAACUUCGUG